rnacentral:rRNA from 1 species
CCUACGGGAGGCAGCAGUGAGGAAUAUUGGUCAAUGGGCGGAAGCCUGAACCAGCCAAGUAGCGUGCAGGAUGACGGCCCUACGGGUUGUAAACUGCUUUUAUACGGGAAUAACGCGCCUUACGUGUAGGGCUUUGCAUGUACCGUAUGAAUAAGGACCGGCUAAUUCCGGGCCAGCCGCCGCGGUAAUACGGAAGGUCCGGGCGUUAUCCGGAUUUAUUGGGUUUAAAGGGAGCGUAGGCGGCAUGUUAAGCGUUCUGUGAAAUGUCCGGGCUCAACCCGGGCCUUGCAGCGCGAACUGGCGUGCUUGAGUCCGCGGAAGGCAGGCGGAAUUCGUCGUGUAGCGGUGAAAUGCUUAGAUAUGACGAAGAACCCCGAUUGCGAAGGCAGCUUGCUGCAGCGGAACUGACGCUGAUGCUCGAAAGCGCGGGUAUCGAACAGGAUUAGAUACCCCUGUGGUC